UGAGGCAAGACGCCACCGCCGAGGUCUUUCCAUAUUGUUGACUUCGGCGCCGACCGCCCCGGCGCCUUCGGGCCCGGAACCAGGCGCCCGCCGGAGGCCCCAAACUCUUAUGUCUUUAGUGGUUUUCUCCUCUGAGUGACACAUAAACAAAUAAAUAAAAACUUUCAACAACGGAUCUCUUGGUUCUGGCAUCGAUGAAGAACGCAGCGAAAUGCGAUAAGUAAUGUGAAUUGCAGAAUUCAGUGAAUCAUCGAAUCUUUGAACGCACAUUGCGCCCGCCAGUAUUCUGGCGGGCAUGCCUGUUCGAGCGUCAUUUCAACCCUCAGGCCCCCAGUGCCUGGUGUUGGGGAUCGGCCCAGCCUUCUCGCAAGGCCGCCGGCCCCGAAAUCUAGUGGCGGUCUCGCUGUAGUCCUCCUCUGCGUAGUAGCACAACCUCGCAGUUGGAACGCGGCGGUGGCCAUGCCGUUAAACACCCCACUUCUUUGAAAGUUGACCUCGGAUCACCAUAGGAAUACCCGCUGACCCUUAAGCAUAUCAAUAAGCCGCAAAAAGAACAUCAAACCUCCUGUGAAUAA
rnacentral:rRNA from 1 species